rnacentral:rRNA from 1 species
GAUGAACGCUAGCUACAGGCUUAACACAUGCAAGUCGCGGGGCAGCAUGGGGGUUGCUUGCAAUCCCCGAUGGCGACCGGCGUACGGGUGAGUAACGCGUAUCCAACCUGCCCUUCACCACGGGAUAACCCGGCGAAAGUCGGACUAAUACCGUAUGUUGUCCAUUGACGGCAUCCGAUUUGGACGAAAGGCUUGGCGGUGAGGGAGGGGGAUGCGUCCGAUUAGCCAGACGGCGGGGUAACGGCCCACCGUGGCUACGAUCGGUAGGGGUUCUGAGAGGAAGGUCCCCCACACUGGAACUGAGACACGGUCCAGACUCCUACGGGAGGCAGCAGUGAGGAAUAUUGGUCAAUGGGCGUAAGCCUGAACCAGCCAAGUAGCGUGCAGGAUGACGGCCCUAUGGGUUGUAAACUGCUUUUAUGCGGGGAUAAAGUGGCCCACGUGUGGGCUUUUGCAGGUACCGCAUGAAUAAGGACCGGCUAAUUCCGUG